UGCAGCCGCGGUAAUUCCAGCUCCAAUAGCGUAUAUUAAAGUUGUUGCAGUUAAAAAGCUCGUAGUUGAAUUUCGGGGUUAGUACGCUGGUCAUGCCUUCGGUAUGUACUGGUGUUACCGAUUCCUACCUUCUGAAGAACCGUCAUGUCAUUAAUUUGGUGUGGCGGGGAAUCAGGACUGUUACUUUGAAAAAAUUAGAGUGUUUAAAGCAGGCUCGCGCUUGAAUACAUUAGCAUGGAAUAAUGAAAUAGGACGUUCGAUCCUAUUUUGUUGGUUUCUAGGAUUGACGUAAUGAUUAAUAGGGAUAGUUGGGGGCAUUAGUAUUCAAUUGUCAGAGGUGAAAUUCUUGGAUUUAUUGAAGGCUAACUACUGCGAAAGCAUUUGCCAAGGAUGUUUUCAUUAAUCAAGAACGAAAGUUAGGGGAUCGAAGACGAUCAGAUACCGUCGUAGUCUUAACCAUAAACUAUGCCGACUAGGGAUCGGAUGAUGUUAUUUUUAUGUACUUNAUUCGGCGCCUUAC
rnacentral:rRNA from 1 species